CUUUCAACAACGGAUCUCUUGGUUCUGGCAUCGAUGAAGAACGCAGCGAAAUGCGAUAAGUAAUGUGAAUUGCAGAAUUCAGUGAAUCAUCGAAUCUUUGAACGCACAUUGCGCCCCUUGGUAUUCCGAGGGGCAUACCUGUUCGAGCGUC
rnacentral:rRNA from 1 species